rnacentral:rRNA from 1 species
ACGAACGCUGGCAGCGUGCUUAACACAUGCACGUCGAACGGAAAGGCCCUGCUUUUGUGGGGUGCUCGAGUGGCGAACGGGUGAGUAACACGUGAGUAACCUGCCCUUGACUUUGGGAUAACUUCAGGAAACUGGGGCUAAUACCGGAUAGGAGCUCCUGCUGCAUGGUGGGGGUUGGAAAGUUUCGGCGGUUGGGGAUGGACUCGCGGCUUAUCAGCUUGUUGGUGGGGUAGUGGCUUACCAAGGCUUUGACGGGUAGCCGGCCUGAGAGGGUGACCGGCCACAUUGGGACUGAGAUACGGCCCAGACUCCUACGGGAGGCAGCAGUGGGGAAUAUUGCACAAUGGGCGGAAGCCUGAUGCAGCAACGCCGCGUGCGGGAUGACGGCCUUCGGGUUGUAAACCGCUUUCGCCUGUGACGAAGCGUGAGUGACGGUAAUGGGUAAAGAAGCACCGGCUAACUACGUG